rnacentral:lncRNA from 1 species
UACCAAAUAAUAUAUUCCUCAAAACUUCUUAAUGGCACUGAGGCUUUGUGGAUAGUUGGUCACAUGAUGAGAAAAUUCAGCUGGCUGGCAAUCUGGUGAAGGUGGGAAAAAGAGGUUAUCCCUUCAGACUUGCUCCUGAAGCUUCUGCAUGCAGACAGGACUAGAUCAUGGACAAGGAUAAAAGUUCACCUAUUUGUGCAAGGAGCGCUGGUACCCUGAUUACACUAUGUGACUCUCCACACAGAAGGCUGGUUCCAGCACCAGCAAUGCACUUUUCCCUUGACUUCCAGCUCCACCACGUGCUCCUCAGUGACUUGCUGAACAAGUGCUGACAGUCGAAGUGAUGAUCAGUGAUAUGUUUUGCCAACGAGCCAGUGAGGGGUAAGACCAUCUUCAGGAGCUUUCACCUGACACACACCAGGGAACAUUUGGGGUUACUGUUAAGAGGCUCUGACCCUUCCUGACCUUCAGCCUGUCUAACCACCAUAACGGGGAGCCUACAACAGUGACUGGUCUUCCAGAGGAACCUUUUUCAAAUGGGAAAUCCCAAACCGGCACUCGUUCAUUGCAAGAGUAGGUACCCUAUUCUACCAGGAAGGACACUGACAGUUCUGGGAAAAAUACCCUGCUGACCUGCCUAGGAACAUGAGUUGUGUAUGCCUUUUCCUUUUACCUUUCUUUGUGUUGUGUGAAACUUUCAGCGCUGCCUCUGUAACUGCUUAGCCAAAUGUAUUCUUCCGAAGAAAUAAUCAGAUCCUGCAGCCAAAACUAGGCCGGUUGUAACUGGGACUGGGUGUUGCCAGAGUGAAAUUUACUGACAGAAACUGUUUCACAACAGUACAGAAUAUUUUGUCUUACACAGAAUACCUUUCACUAAAGUUACUCUUAAACCUAAAUUAGAAGGUUUUCUGCCC